CACCAGGGUCAAGAGGGGAGGCUGGCAGGGGCAGGGCAGGGGUAAAGGCACAGGACACAGUCCAAGCCCCCUACUGCUGUCCUGCAUGGUUGCUCAAAGGCUAACGAGUUUUCAAGAGUGCCCACAGCAAGAAGCUAGUCCCAGAGAGGGCUGAAUUCUCCAUCUUCCCUACGGGACAGUCCUUCAGUCCCCUGUGGCCGGAACUGGACCCCCAUCACCCUUCCAGGGAGGAAGGCAACAUGAGGACUCAAAGCAUCAUAGGUAACAGCAGCGGUUUCUCUUCCGGCGUGUACACAGGCGCAUGCGCGCACACGGGGGCAUGCGCACAUGCGUGCAAAAGGACGCAUGCGCAAAUAUGGACAUGGAGCGGAGACCUCGCUGUGUUUCACGCGCUUCCAGGGAUCACACAGGAGUUAUUUGGAAAAUUGUUUGAAAAGUGGCACUAGACCGUCUCCAACUACUUUCCAGUUCUGGAAAAUUGUCAGUCUGUGAUUUUUCACUUCAGAUGUAGCGGCCACAGAUUUACAGCGUCGUCACACUCAUUAAAUGAAACCGAACAGCCUCAGAUUCCAGAAAGUUCUAAAGCAACCGGGAGAAUGCCCUCUUCUGUGAAGAGGGACCCAAGUAAUGCACUAAGGUUACUUUUAAUCCAAUCUCAGUUACGUAUCCCCUAAGCUCCUGCCAAGUAGUUAGCCGUCUAUUAAAAAACACUUUGGUAGAGAAGCUGUGGCUAUUAGAACCCAUCAAUAAAUCAGUUUAUUGGAUGACAACCUUCAGCUAUGUCAAUUUAAAAACAAAAAAUCAUGUCCAUG